rnacentral:rRNA from 1 species
AGUGAACGCUGGCGGUAGGCCUAACACAUGCAAGUCGAACGGCAGCACAGUAAGAGCUUGCUCUUACGGGUGGCGAGUGGCGGACGGGUGAGGAAUACAUCGGAAUCUACCUUUUCGUGGGGGAUAACGUAGGGAAACUUACGCUAAUACCGCAUACGACCUACGGGUGAAAGCAGGGGAUCUUCGGACCUUGCGCGAUUGAAUGAGCCGAUGUCGGAUUAGCUAGCUGGCGGGGUAAAGGCCCACCAAGGCGACGAUCCGUAGCUGGUCUGAGAGGAUGAUCAGCCACACUGGAACUGAGACACGGUCCAGACUCCUACGGGAGGCAGCAGUGGGGAAUAUUGGACAAUGGGCGCAAGCCUGAGCCAGCCAUACCGCGUGGGUGAAGAAGGCCUUCGGGUUGUAAAGCCCUUUUGUUGGGAAAGAAAAGCAGCAGGUUAAUACCCCGCUGUUCUGACGGUACCCAAAGAAUAAGCACCGGCUAACUUCGUG